ACAUGCAAGUCGAACGCUUCACUUCGGUGAAGAGUGGCGAACGGGUGAGUAAUACAUAAGUAACCUGGCAUCUACAGGGGGAUAACUGAUGGAAACGUCAGCUAAGACCGCAUAGGUGUAGAGAUCGCAUGAACUCUAUAUGAAAAGUGCUACGGGACUGGUAGAUGAUGGACUUAUGGCGCAUUAGCUUGUUGGUAGGGUAACGGCCUACCAAGGCGACGAUGCGUAGCCGACCUGAGAGGGUGACCGGCCACACUGGGACUGAGACACGGCCCAGACUCCUACGGGAGGCAGCAGUAGGGAAUUUUCGGCAAUGGGGGAAACCCUGACCGAGCAACGCCGCGUGAAGGAAGAAGUAAUUCGUUAUGUAAACUUCUGUCAUAGAGGAAGAACGGUGGAUAUAGGGAAUGAUAUCCAAGUGACGGUACUCUAUAAGAAAGCCACGGCUAACUACGUGCCAGCAGCCGCGGUAAUACGUAGGUGGCGAGCGUUAUCCGGAAUUAUUGGGCGUAAAGAGGGAGCAGGCGGCACUAAGGGUCUGUGGUGAAAGAUCGAAGCUUAACUUCGGUAAGCCAUGGAAACCGUAGAGCUAGAGUGUGUGAGAGGAUCGUGGAAUUCCAUGUGUAGCGGUGAAAUGCGUAGAUAUAUGGAGGAACACCAGUGGCGAAGGCGACGAUCUGGCGCAUAACUGACGCUCAGUCCCGAAAGCGUGGGGAGCAAAUAGGAUUAGAUACCCUAGUAGUCCACGCCGUAAACGAUGAGUACUAAGUGUUGGGUGUCAAAGCUCAGUGCUGCAGUUAACGCAAUAAGUACUCCGCCUGAGUAGUACGUUCGCAAGAAUGAAACUCAAAGGAAUUGACGGGGGCC
rnacentral:rRNA from 1 species